CUGUCCCGAUUUUCUCUUUUCUCACAAUUAUUGCUUUCCACACUUGCUUCUUACCUGUUUGUCUAAAUUCCCAAUUGAAAACAAGUAAAAAAAUGUAGUUGUUUGGUUUGUUGUACUUGUUGCCCAGUUUAGAAAGUUUUUUCUGGAUGUAAAGUGCUACUUGUGGGACUAUUUUUGUGCAAAGUGUUAGUUAGGCGUUUGAAUUUAUUUAGCCUGAAGGGUUGGUUAGAAUUUAAGAGGAAGUAAAUUUGUAUUUUUAGUUCUCGUGGGCGUCAGCCUCAACUGGAAAAGUUUUUGCUUUUAAGUGCAACUUGAUGGGUAUUUCCUACUAAACAUUUACCCAUGGUUGUUCAUUUGCUAGAAAAGAAGGGUUUUAGUUGAAGUAUUCUGAACUUUUUAAGCCAAAAAACGCCAAGAAAUUGGUUCGAAUGGAAAAAAAUAAUAUGCAAGAACUUCUGAAUUUUUUUGCCAAAAAACACCAAGAAAAGAAAAGGACUGUUAGCUUUGGAAGGGUUCUGCAUCAUAUAGCUACUGUGUUAAUUGUUAAAGAGGUGUAUUUGUUGUUUCUGAACCCAAAUCAGUGCAUAAAUUCGGCAUUUUUAAGUGCCUGUGCCUCUGGUCUGCAACAGUGCCAUCAAAGGUUACAGUCUUCUCUUGGAAAGUGGUGCUAGAUAGAGUGCAAACAAGGCUGCAAUUUCGUAAAAGAAAACUUUUGAGGCAUUUCGAUGAUAUCUCAUGUCCUUUUUGCAAACAACAUGUGGAAACCGCAAAUCACUUGCUCUUCUUAUGUCAGCAUGCAGGGCUAAUAGCAGGCACUAAAAGUAAAAAAGGGCAUGGAGUUCGGUGUGGAUGGCGGCUGCGUGGUCUUUAUGGACCCACAGAAAUGAUAUGAUUUUCAAUGGUGAGGAGGUGAACAUGGAGAGUGUUUUGGAUUUGAUUAAGAUCAGAUCAUGGCAAUGAUUAAAGGCAAAAAACAUGGCAAUUUCAAAUGUUCUGUCUGAGGGGUUGACCCAACCUUUUUUGUGUCUGCAAUAUGUGUAAGGCCACUCUGUUUUUUACAAUAGAUUGUUAUCUGUUAAAAUGUCUACAGAAGAUACAGCAAUGUAGCAAAGUGUAGACUGGUUGCUGAUUCUAAUUGAAGAACUAAGAGGAUGGAGAUUAUGGGGAAUGCAGUGCUAUGUUAGGUGGAGGGUUCCGAGGUGGCAAAAUUACUAUGGUAAAUGGUAAUGAUGACAGAUAUUAAUAGAUAUAUUUGGUGGCUGCACUUUUUGGUUUGGAUGGGAAACAGUUAGCGGAUGAGGCAAUCAGAUGGAGGAAUUAGCUUACGUAUGGAUCACACUUUUACACGGGCUGAUGUGUUUUAAUUAUGAUAUGGACGAAAGCAGACUAUGGAUCAGUGUGUUAUAUUCUGUUGCUGCUGGUAUAACAAAUUUGAUGGUGCAGUGAAUACAUUUGUUGGGUUAUUCAAGAGGGAAUACACUUUCUGAAGCUGGUAAAUGUUGGCAUAUGUAGAGUUCUGGCUGCAGUUUAACUGAUGAGGACAUGGUCAAAUGAUGUACAGAAUUUUUGCUGUGUAGGCUCGGUUACUUUGUAUUUAUGUCUUUAAAUAUAAAUACUGUGUAACCGCUGGUCUAUGGGGUUAGUGGUUUACACUAGUUUCUUUUGUUGUAUGGGUUUGGGUACCCCUUGUACCCGUUAUUUAUAUAGUUAUGAUCUUAUUGGCUAAUAAAAAAAAAAU